UUAGGGAAUAUUGGGCAAUGGUCGGAAGACUGACCCAGCCAUGCCGCGUGCAGGAAGACGGCCCUCUGGGUUGUAAACUGCUUUUAUCUGGGAAGAAAAAGGCCAUGCGUGGCAAAUUGCCGGUACCAGAUGAAUAAGCACCGGCUAACUCCGUGCCAGCAGCCGCGGUAAUACGGAGGGUGCGAGCGUUGUCCGGAUUUAUUGGGUUUAAAGGGUGCGUAGGCGGCUGAUUAAGUCAGCGGUGAAAGACUUCGGCUUAACCGGAGCAGUGCCGUUGAUACUGGUUGGCUUGAGUGUCGGAGGGGUACAUGGAAUUGAUGGUGUAGCGGUGAAAUGCAUAGAUACCAUCAGGAACACCGAUAGCGAAGGCAUUGUACUGGCCGACAACUGACGCUGAUGCACGAAAGUGUGGGGAUCGAACAGAAUUAGAUACCCUUGUAGUCC
rnacentral:rRNA from 1 species